AGAAGACGUAAGAGGUAGGGCUGUCGUAGGCUCGGCGUCCCUGGUGCUGCUGGCCCAGGCACCUCGGGUUCUGCCCGUAGCCUUAGGUGAGCGAAGGCCGAGCAACGGGGAGUAAUUGCUGGGCGCAGGUAGCUUGAGUCCAGCGCUCUCACCCCGACGCCCGCCCAAUGACUCUGCUCCAGCCUGGGAUUCUGACCCGGGCCCGAGCCUGGGAUGGCUGGUGGGUGGGAGACCAGAGAGCAGCAGAAAUGUGCUUUCCAGCCCUAGUGCGGUUUGUCCCGAGUUAACGGAGGAGUGAGAUGAGAGUAUCACUCCUAACAGUCGCAGCAGGCUAACAAAACAAUAACAAAUAAGCCAGGGAACCACUGGGCUAAUUACAUCGGGAGAAUGGCGACUGCUCUAAGGGUGAGAGACAAGAGAGAUCUCUUCAUAGUAAUGAAAACAAACAAACAAACAACAACAACAACAAUAAAACCAAAAAAGACAGCCCAGCAUCCCAGCCAGGACUCCUGGAGAUAAGUUCCGACUCCUCUCAGGGAGGAAACCUUAUGUCUACUUCACUCAAUGCUUGUAACUUCGUUCCAAUAAGAGACUGAGCUAACUUGUGUUAUGGCUCCGUAAGCACUUACCACCGAGCCUGACAGAUGACAGAGAUUCCCAGAAACCACGUGGAAAAAAGAACCAACUCCAGCAAGUUGUUCCCUGACCUCUCUGCCCAUGCACCUUGACAUAUUUGUGCACACAGGAACACAAAAUACUUGUAAUAAAACAUGUUUUAAAGAUG
ensembl:processed_transcript A930006K02Rik RIKEN cDNA A930006K02 gene